UUCUAAGCUUUGCGAUAUCAUCAAGUUCAUCCCGUGCUUUGUCGCUUGACAAGCGCUUGACAGACAAAAUGUCCACUUGUGAUUAUACGCGUAGCGUUCGAGACAACUGCCGAUUAGCAGACAACAAGCAACAAGUUCUAGAACCUACGCCUCACUGACUUAAUAGAGUAUGUUACCAUCCAGUUUUUGACCAGCAACAACGGCAACAACCAGCAGCAGCGGCAGCUACACGUGGUCGAGAAGAGAUACUGGUAAUACAACUAUGAGCGCGUAUUUUAGACCAACAACCUCUCGACCUUUUAAAAUAACAAAAGCAACGAUUGUCUAUUGUGGUGUUAGAGUACAGUUCAACCUCGAUAAGCCGAACUAAGUAUUACGAGCUAAGUGUUUGUAUAUUCGGGAACUAAUUUAUACGUGACUUUGAAGUAUUUAAAAUUUAUAAA